UGAUGCCAGGGUCAAAAGGUCUAAGCCCACAUGAGCUUGCUCAUAGGUGGGUGAAAGACCUUUUGACCCGCCCCGAUAUGAGCAUAAAAGUGGGAUGAUAAUCCCACGAUAUGCGAAUAUUGGGUAGGAUUGUGGGAGUGCGUAGCACGGAGCAAUCCGUAGGCAUCA
rnacentral:sRNA from 21 species